rnacentral:rRNA from 1 species
AGUGAACGCUGGCGGUAGGCCUAACACAUGCAAGUCGAACGGCAGCACAGUAAGAGCUUGCUCUUACGGGUGGCGAGUGGCGGACGGGUGAGGAAUACAUCGGAAUCUACUUUUUCGUGGGGGAUAACGUAGGGAAACUUACGCUAAUACCGCAUACGACCUACGGGUGAAAGCAUGGGAUCUUCGGACCUUGCGCGAUUGAAUGAGCCGAUGUCGGAUUAGCUAGUUGGCGGGGUAAAGGCCCACCAAGGCGACGCUCCGUAGCUGGUCUGAGAGGAUGAUCAGCCACACUGGAACUGAGACACGGUCCAGACUCCUACGGGAGGCAGCAGUGGGGAAUAUUGGACAAUGGGCGCAAGCCUGAUCCAGCCAUACCGCGUGGGUGAAGAAGGCCUUCGGGUUGUAAAGCCCUUUUGUUGGGAAAGAAAAGCAGCAGGUUAAUACCCCGCUGUUCUGACGGUACCCAAAGAAUGAGCACCGGCUAACUUCGUG